rnacentral:rRNA from 1 species
UACGGGGGGGGCAAGCGUUGUUCGGAAUUACUGGGCGUAAAGGGCGCGUAGGCGGCUUUUCAAGUCGGGCGUGAAAUCUCCAGGCUUAACCUGGAAGGGUCGUUCGAUACUGUUAAGCUAGAGUGUGGAAGAGGCUACUGGAAUUCCUGGUGUAGCGGUGAAAUGCGCAGAUAUCAGGAGGAACACCAAUUGCGAAGGCAGCUCGCUGGGACGUUACUGACGCUGAGACGCGAAAGCGUGGGGAGCAAACAGG